AGUGUAUGACUGUGAACAUUAAGGUAAAUAAGAAGUGAAUUGUAUGGCUGUGAACAUUAAGGUAAACAAGAAGUGAAGUGUAUGGCUGUGAACACUAAGGUAAACAAGAAGUGAAGUGUAUGGCUGUGAACACUAAGGUAAACAAGAAUGGAAGUGUAGG
rnacentral:sRNA from 1 species